UCCCGGGGCGCACGGGCCAGAGAGGCCCCUAUUGUUGCUGUGUCAUAGGGGAGCGGCGGCGGCCCCUGGCGGCGGCGCCGGGAACGGCGGGCCGCGAACCCUGGGCACCGCGUCCUCACCCCGGGAGAGCCUCACCCCGGGAGCCGGUGGCUCUGCGCCGCUCUCCGGGCCGCCCGCGUGCGGGUGCGCCCAGCUGUGCGGGCCUGGGGCAGGUGUCGGCAGCGGCCACCAGCCGACCCUGCGGAGCCACCGCGCCAGGCCCGCAGGAAGCCAGCCCGACCCUCGUGCGUCCUGAGCGACGUUCCAGGGCCUUGGACCCAGGAGGCGCGGGUGUCACAACGGCCGCACGGUGGCCUGAGCCGUGGCGGCCGAUGGCCCGGGUGCCCUGGAGGGGGCGGCGCGCCUUUCCGCGGCCCGAGCGCCCCGCCGUGCCGCCCUCCGCUCCUGCCAUGGACAGCGGGCGCGGGGCCCUGCGAGGGAGACCUGUAAGCUGACCUGGCUCCAAAAAGAGCCCAAGCGGGACGUGGCUGUGCGGGCAGCGCCCUGGUUCAGUCCCCGGCGCGGAAAGAAGGAUCCGUACAGAGUGGCCAGUGCCCUUCCCAGCCCGGCCUCCGCUUAUCCUCGACACUGCCCGGAGUCGGUGGCGCCCGGUGCCACCUGUCACUUUCUGGGUGUGCCUGUGUGACACUUGUAUGUUCUUCAGCUUUUCCUGAAAAGUACUGAUCCACUCGACGUUGCUUCCGAGCUGUGUCCACCUCACACGGUGUUCUGCUGCGGGAAGCGCACCUCCUUCUCCGGUCUUGGUGAACACAGGCAUUUGCUUCGUUUUUUUACUACAGUGUUCCAAUUUUAGAUCGAAAUUUAACUGAUCUAAAUAUUCACUAUUUUUUGUCUGAGAAAAUAGCUGUUUUCGUUAUUAUGAUUAUUAUUAUUGUACUUGGGAUUGAACCCAGGGGUGCCUUACCACUGAGCCACAUCCCCUAUUUUGAGACAGGAUCUUCCUAAAUUGCUUAGGGCCUCACUAAAUUGCUGAGGCUGGCCUCAAAUUUGUAAUCCUUUUGCCACAGUCUCCUGCUUCCCUAGGAUUCCAUCCUGUGCUAUCAUGCCUGACUUCACUCAAGUUUAGCUUAGACUCACCAGAGGUGGGUCUGUGGUCUGGAUUGCCUGCAAUGCUGAAUAUCUCC
rnacentral:lncRNA from 1 species